rnacentral:rRNA from 1 species
UACGUAGGGUGCAAGCGUUGUUCGGAAUUACUGGGCGUAAAGGGCUCGUAGGCGGCCAACUAAGUCCGACGUGAAAUCCCCAGGCUUAACCUGGGAACUGCGUCGGAUACUGGAUGGCUUGAAUUCGGGAGAGGAUGCAGAAUUCCAGGUGUAGCGGUGAAAUGCGUAGAUAUCUGGAGGAAUACCGGUGGCGAAGGCGGCAUCCUGGACCGACAUUGACGCUGAGGAGCGAAAGCCAGGAGGGACAAACGGG